rnacentral:rRNA from 1 species
AGUGAACGCUGGCGGUAGGCCUAACACAUGCCAGUCGAACGGCAGCACAGUAAGAGCUUGCUCUUACGGGUGGCGAGUGGCGGACGGGUGAGGAAUACAUCGGAAUCUACUUUUUCGUGGGGGAUAACGUAGGGAGACUUACGCUAAUACUGCAUACGACCUACGGGUGAAAGCAUUGGGUCUUCGGACCUUGCGCCGUUGAAUGAGCCGAUGUCGGAUUAGAUAGUUGGCGGGGUAAAGGCCCACCAAGGCGACGAUCCGGAGCUGGUAUGAGAGGAUGAUACGCCACACUGGAACUGAGACACGGUCCAGACUCCUACGGGAGGCAGCAGUGGGGAAUAUUGGACAAUGGGCGCAAGCCUGAUCCAGCCAUACCGCGUGGGUGAAGAAGGCCUUCGGGUUGUAAAGCCCUUUUGUUGGGAAAGAAAAGCAGCAGGUUAAUACACCGCUGUUCUGACGGUACCCAAAGAAUAAGCCCCGGCUAACUUCGUG